AUUAGUGUAGCUAUUUCUUUAUGCACAUAAAAUGUACGAGAUCCAUCUACCUGGUUAAAUCUCACUUGCAAAUCUAACCGUACUAACUAGGCCACAGAUGCAUACAUUAUACCCCUAAGCAAAUUUUCUAAUACUGAAUUUAUAAUCCAAGAUAAGACAAAUGCAUUCACUCUUUCCCAAUGCUCCCACUUUCUGGGAACUUUUCUUUACUACAUGUUCCAUCAACCAUCCCUAGCAUAUUCCUAUCCCUUAGAGAAAUUUUCAUAGAUCUAAGACCCAAGGAAUAGCUUUUGGUACCUAUCAAUUGAAAAGUAAUGACUUGGAUUCCACUCACAUCUGAAGAGUGCAGAAAGAGGGGACAAUUAUAAUCAAUCCCUGCACCGUAAUUCAUCAUGUUUCCAGAUCUUUUUUUUUUUUUUUAAAAAUUAAUAUCACCCAAUCAGGCAUUUUAUUGAAUUAAUAGAAAAAACAAAGGUUCAAAAUAAAUGUAAACAAAAAGGAACAGAAAAGGAAAAAAAAUACAAAAACAAAAAAGGAAAUUGCUAAAUACAUUUUGUUGCCCUAAAUCCUCGCGUAUUUUUCUCUCUCUAUUUCUUUGCCACCGGUGAUGUUCUGAUGAUGACAAUGAGCUGAUUUAAGUGUUUGGAUCCUCUCUAAUGUGUAUCGCCGGUGCAUGCAACCUCUUCUAUGAUUUUCAAGCUGAAUCUUCAGGUAUUCUAUUUCCAUUUGUUGUUCUUCAUCUUGCUGUCUUGUUUUAACCAUUUCACCUGAUUCCUGUUUUAUUGUUGUUUUGUAUGACUUGAAUCGACAUUUUUUGAGCUUGGAAUCCCACCUCAACAUUUGUAUGUUGAGAUCUGAUUUGUCGAUCUUUAGUCGAGCUAACGAAAACUUCUGGGCUUUCUAAGCUCUACUCAUCCUUGUAGGCAGGGAGACAGAUCAGACCCCUAGGUGAUUCAUCAGCGGAGUCUCAGGGCACUCCACUUACUUCGGAGCCGCAAUCUAUUGGUAUCUCCCUUUUGUGUACUUAUUUGGGCACGGCGGGGUCCUGUCCCGUCCUUAUGAUUUCUUGUACUCUAUAUAGAGGCUCGUGGAUAGGUGUGUAUGGUUAGAUGUCUCAUAACCUUACCGGUUCAUCUUCUGUAUAUUAUUUUUUUGCAGCUUUGUCGGCUUGUGUAUAUGUACAUAGGCUUAGUUAAUGAUGGUUAAAUAGAUGGGCUAUUACUUUUGUGAAUCCAUGCCCUUUUUGAUUAUGAAAUUCAUGCGUUAUUUUUCA